rnacentral:rRNA from 1 species
AUGAACGCUGGCGGCGUGCCUAAUACCUGCAAGUCGAGCGCACAGACGAGGAGCUUGCUCCUUCGACGUUAGCGGCGGACGGGUGAGUAACACGUAGGUAACCUACCUAUAAGACUGGGAUAACUUCGGGAAACCGGAGCUAAUACCGGAUAAUAUUUCGAACCGCAUGGUUCGAUAGUGAAAGAUGGCUUUGCUAUCACUUAUAGAUGGACCUGCGCCGUAUUAGCUAGUUGGUAAGGUAACGGCUUACCAAGGCAACGAUACGUAGCCGACCUGAGAGGGUGAUCGGCCACACUGGAACUGAGACACGGUCCAGACUCCUACGGGAGGCAGCAGUAGGGAAUCUUCCGCAAUGGGCGAAAGCCUGACGGAGCAACGCCGCGUGAGUGAUGAAGGUCUUCGGAUCGUAAAACUCUGUUAUUAGGGAAGAACAAACGUGUAAGUAACUGUGCACGUCUUGACGGUACCUAAUCAGAAAGCCACGGCUAACUACGUG